rnacentral:lncRNA from 1 species
AGGAAUUUGAGGGGAAGAUUUCAUAGCAGAAGGUGUUAAUGUGGCCUGUAUUGACUUAAGUGGUGACCCAACUGGACUGUGAAACUGUGGGAUGCCUAUGGACUCGAGCUGCUUGUUAAAGAGGAACUCCCCACUGUUGUUCAGAAAUCCUUCCUCAUGUCCUCUCUCCCCAAGCUUCCCAUCCUCUACUGGCUCAGUUUCUAGCAUUUCAGUAUCUUCUUUCCUGCUAAAGAACUUGUCCAAGUAACUAGUGUAAGUGUUUUCCUUCUCAACUUGUUCAUCCUUCCUUACCUCACAAAACUGAUUUAUGAAAAAACAGUCCUCCCCACCACUCACAAACUGGCUGUCC